rnacentral:rRNA from 1 species
CAAUAGCGUAUAUUAAAGUUGUUGCGGUUAAAAAGCUCGUAGUUGGAUUUCUGUUGAGGGAGGUCGGUCCGCACUAUGUGCGUGUAUCUGAUUCUGCCUCGGCAUCCUCUCGAAUACCGGUCUGCGCUUUAUUGCGUGGGUCGGACUUCGGGACUUUUACUUUGAGGAAAUUAGAGUGUUCACGGCAGGCAAGCGCCUUGAAUAUAUUAGCAUGGAAUAAUGAUAUAGGAUCUUGGUCCUAUUUUGUUGGUUUCUAGGGCUAAGAUAAUGAUUAAUAGGGACAAUUGGGGGCAUUCGUAUUAACGCGUCAGAGGUGGAAUUCUUGGAUUGCGUUACGACGAACUACUGCGAAAGCAUUUGCCAAGGAUGUUUNCAUUGA